UUUCAAGGAACAUCGACUAAAUGCUGCACGUCCUGUGCGAACGUCGAUGGAUCUUACAUCCUGUGAG
rnacentral:sRNA from 1 species